GGCGGGUUGCCAGAGCGGCCAAUGGGAGCGGACUGUAAAUCCGCCGGCUACGCCUUCCAAGGUUCGAAUCCUUGACCCGCCACCA
rnacentral:tRNA from 1 species